rnacentral:tRNA from 1 species
GGGAAUGGAUGGGGCCCGGUGGCCCUGACGGACUUCAAAUCCGGUUUAUCCGCCUAAGAAGCGGAUGGGUGGGUUCGACUCCCACACGUUCCC